GCGCCUGUAGCUCAGAGGAUAGAGCAACGGACUUCUAAUCCGUGGGCCGUAGGUUCGAAUCCUACCAGGCGUGCCA
rnacentral:tRNA from 1 species